rnacentral:rRNA from 1 species
ACCCAGAAGGUGCCUGACCUCAACUGAUCGCAGAAGCUAGGCAGGCUUGGGCAUGGCUAAUGCACGGAAAGAAGAGAAUGCUGUACGUAAAGCCA